CAAAAUUCCAGCCAACAGUUUUUGCAAAGGCAUAACUUCUGAACCAGAGUCUAAACAAAACGAUGGAAAAUAAAAACAACAAGCAAGUGAAACUCCCUGACUUAUCAACCUUACUCAAGAACUAUGCUCCUGUUUAGGUAUGCAGACCUGACUUCUUGACUGCAGAUCCCCCAAAACCAGAAUUGGGUGCUCUGAACAUGCUCAAGAGAAAGUCAAAUUUGAAACCCAUUGUGUUAAAACCUGUUGUAAGGAAAAAAAAAAAAAAAACUACAAAGAACUGUAUUUUGUCAUCGUAAUUACAGAGAUGUAGAAAAACGUGUUUUCUACAAGAUGCAAAAAUAUGUGAGACCUCUUUAUAACACAUGGUAUGUUAAGAAACAGCUGUUCAGCUACGA
rnacentral:lncRNA from 1 species